rnacentral:rRNA from 1 species
CGCGUAGGUAAUCUACCCUUAUAUUUGGGAUAACAUCGGGAAACUGUUGCUAAUACCGAAUGGUCUUCAUUGCUGCCGGGCGAUGGAGUAAAGGUGGCCUCUUCUUGAAAGCUGUCACCUGAGAAUGGGCCCGCGGCCUAUUAGCUUGUUGGUGAGGUAACGGUUCACCAAGGCGACGAUGGGUAGCCGGCCUGAGAGGGUGAACGGUCACACUGGCACUGAGACACGGGCCAG